rnacentral:rRNA from 1 species
AUACGUAGGUGACAAGCGUUAUCCGGAUUUACUGGGCGUAAAGGGCGUGUAGGCGGUCUUGCAAGUCAGAAGUGAAAUUCCUGAGCUCAACUCGGGCGCUGCUUCUGAAACUGCAGGACUUGAGUGCUGGAGGGGCAAGCGGAAUUCCUAGUGGAGCGGUAAAAUGCGCAGAUAUUAGGAAGAACACCGGUGGCGAAGGCGGCUAUCUGGACAGUAACGUACGCUGAGGCGCGAAAGCGUGGGGAGCAAACAGGAUUAGAUACCCUGGUAGACCACGCCGUAAACGAUGGGCGCUCGUCGUCGGCGACAGACAGUCGGCGGCCAAGCGAAAGCGAUAAGCGCCCCACCUGGGGAGUACGGUCGCAAGGCUGAAACUCAAAUGAAUUGACGGGG